CAGUAGCCACGGUAAUACAGAGGAUGCAAGCGUUAUCCGGAAUGAUUGGGCGUAAAGCGUCUGUAGGUGGCUUUUCAAGUCCGCCGUCAAAUCCCAGGGCUCAACCCUGGACAGGCGGUGGAAACUACCAUGCUAGAGGAUUGGAGAGGUAGCUGGAAUUCUUGGUGUAGCAGUGAAAUGCGUGGAGAUCAAGAGGAACACUCGUGGCGAAAGCGAGCUACUGGACAAUAACUGACGCUGAGGCUCGAAGGCCAGGGUAGCGAAAGGGAUUAGAUACCCCUGUAGUCCCUGUCUCUUAUAC
rnacentral:rRNA from 1 species